UGCCACGUUGCUCCUCCUAUGGACCCACUUCUAGGAAAAUUAAUUUAUUGUUUUUUAGUGAUUAUAAUAAUGAAGCUCAUAUAUAAUAUGCCAAAAUUCAAUCUCCUUUUUCCUUGACAGAUCCUAAGUUAAUUGGUCCUUCUUAAAGGCCAUGGGUAAAAGACUGAGAGCAUUUGUUCUUGAACUGUUUGAAAACACUGAACUGAGAUCUUCUUAUCAUCAGAGAGUCACACCAAGGAAUGUGAUUUCACGCUCCCUGAAGUCAACUUGUCAAGACCAUCUUUUUUCCAGAUGUGGGAAGGAUUGUCACAUAGCAUACUGUGAGGCAGAAGUAUCCAACUAGCACAUUCUGUCCCGGUGGGUACCAAUCGGUAUAACAAAGACCUUGACCUACCUCCAGUCAGUUUUCUCUGAGUCCUCUUUUUGGCUAGGUAUUGGGCUCUGUCCUUGGCCUGAUUAUUGGUUUUAGCAAGUAUCCUGCUAAGUCAAUUUAGCAGGACUCUCCUACCCCUGGUCUCUUCACCUUGAUAUUUGAUCAAAUUCCUCAUCCCCAUGCUUGAUAUCUUAUCACCCUGGCCUGCCUUCAGCAAGAAUCCUGUUGAGUUGGUCUAGCAAGAAUCUCCCUAGCUUUGAAGUUUACUCUAUGUAAAUUUUCCAUCCACUGACCCCACCCUGCUCCUUGGCUAUAAAUAUCUACUCGUCCUUGUGCUCAGAGUUAAGCCAAAUUUUUCUUCUCUGUUGCAAAAGCCCAUUGUAGUAGUCCCCUUUGAAUGAAGUCUUCCUUACUCUCUUUCACAAGUAUUAGGAAUUCUUUUUCUUUGACAAAUGCAAUAUAUUUUCGAAGGCAUAUAAAUUAUUGUACUUGCUCAUUAUGUGAGGCAAAAUGAAAGAAAGGGUCUGAUGUCUGUCUAGUGAACUAAGGACACCAAGCCCCAAAAGGACAAGGGCUUAAGGCUGCCAAGCAUGGUUACUUUUAUAUGGCCUCUCAGAAACCACCAUUCACAAGUGUAAUUACUGUGGCCAAUGAUGUGGAUAGGUUUCCCCAGACAGUUUCAUCCCCAUGUACGCUUUCAUGCACUAUAAAGUGUGGUAAUCCGAACACCACAUUUCCCACCAUCCUUUGCAACUAGAGUCCUGGCAACAAAUUAAAUUCCAUCAGUUGUAUGGUGAGAUUUAGAAGUUGGGAGUGAGUUGGAGGCUGUCUUGUUCCUAUGGCUGUUAUGACAUCAAGCUUGGUCGUGGAGAUGUGUGUCUAUUGGUUCCGUUUCUCUGGAGAACCCUGACUGAUAUACUCACUAAUUAGCAAAUGUGCAUUUGCCUUGUCGGUGGGUUCAUUUGAUUCU
ensembl:lncRNA